CAGAUAAUAGUAUGAAGUGAAAUUUACUUAAUUUUGUGAUUCCAUUUCUUAGGAUCCAUAAUAUAUACCUAGCCGAUGAUGUGGAAAUCCCUUAGCCCUAAACAGAAAAGUCUGAGUACAGUAAGGGCUUCCUUCAGACAGGAGACAGACAACCAUGGUUUGCACACUGUAUUUCCUCCUCUUCAACAGUGAGGCCACUGCCUAUCAUUAACUCUAAGUACUUUUGAUUCAAGAGCUUAAUGGGAAGUGUGGAUAUUCUGACCUAGCAACAGCAACUAUGAAGUAGUUUGGCAUUGAUUACAAAAUCAAUCAAGAAACCAACUAAUCACUUCAAAGAUUUUCAUCUUCCAAAAGGCUAAGUGUGUAAAUCAUGAGAAGGUAGUAAGUUUUUGCACUGAUGGAGAUUAAAGAGCACAUCAGAGGAAAGUGAGUUGCCAUCUAGCUGAGACAAGUCCUAAAGAAAAAUUAAAGGGAGAGACUUGAAGGUAUUCAUGUAUUGGAUUUGAGUUAUAAGGCAACAUGAUACAAGAAUUGACACAGGAGUGAAGUCCACAGAAUGGCAGAUGAUAAGCUCCCUUUGGCUCUCCCCUUCAAUCUGCAAUGAAUAAAACAUCCACAACUCAACAAAGGUGGCUCUGCCCAAUGCACCAGGACACCAGAGAAUUCCAUACAUUUUUACACUUAAAGGCGGGUGACUGGAAAACGUAGAGGAGGUGGAACCAUGGAGAACAGAAGAGGUGGUGCCUGCCAUCCCAGCCCUCUGCCCAGAGCAGCAGAGCCUGCAGCCCCAGAGAACAUGACUCCAGCCUCCUGGUCACAGUGGUGCCCACGGCUUCAGCCCAAACUGGAAACAGCCCAGAUAUCCUUCAAGAUUUAAAGAGCAAAACAACUGUAGUAAAUACACACCAUGGAAUAUUACUCUGCAAUAAUUGAGAAUGAACU